rnacentral:lncRNA from 1 species
GUUUCGUUAAAUUUUUAGAUCAUGAUACGAGGAAAAUCCUUGUAUGAGUUUGUUUUGUCAAAUUUAUGCAGGCAAAAACAUUCUUUGAGCAAACAAGGUUCAAGGGAGGUAUGAAACUUCCAAGGAUUUAAUUUUUUUUUUAUAAAAAAGAUCUCAAGCAUAUAUAGUAUAAACUGUGUCAUUCAUUUCUUUGAAUUUCAAAUACUCUAUCACUAUGAGGUAGGAAACUAAUUGGACCAGGUUAUUGAGUUGAAUUGAUACGUGAGUCACUUGUCUUGCCCUAAGCAUUAGGAACCAGUUUAUUGCUUUGUUUAUAUGGCAUAUGAUUUUCG